GCCAGAGCCAUGUCUCCCUGCUGUUCUCCCCUGGUUUCCCACUGAAGCUAAGCAGGGUUGAGCCUGGCCAGUACCUGGAUGGGGAGACCUCCUGGGGAAAACUAAGUCGGCUGCUGGAA
rnacentral:rRNA from 1 species